rnacentral:lncRNA from 1 species
AAUAUAUAUUAUAUAGAGCCUUUAAUAUCAUUGGAAAACACCUUUACACCCAAAUCAUAAUUAUAAACAGAAGUACGUAACAAUAGCAAAAUUAAUUAAACCAGUGAACUUCAGCUUCAAUAUUAAUUAAUGGGGAAGAAUAUAAAUUCCACCUAUAACAAAAUGUUAUCAAAAGAAGGCUUACAAUUCGUUUGAAUAGGUCCAUACAUUUGGGCUCAAAAUGGGCCUGGAACAAAAUGUGCUGGAGUUGUUAGCCCAAUUUCAAAUGUCUUUAUACUUGUUUUAAUUAAUAAUUAUAAUUUAACAAUUGUUUGAUUUGUUAUAAAAAAAAAUUGUUUGAUUUCCUUCACAAAGGAAAAGAAGGAUUAAAAAAAGAAAAAGGUAAAAUAAAAUAUUUGUUUCAUCCUAAAUUUGAAAUAAAUAUACAUUUUCUCUAUAAGGUUCUAGCGAAAUGAAGUUUGCAGAUGAUGUAUGAUAAUUAAUGGGAUUCGUGGAAUAUUAAUGAAAGAAUGCAAUUGCAAGCCCACAAAAUAAAAACCAAUAAACUUUAUGAAUAAUGCUGGACAUCCUAACAUUUAAGUUUUAAUUUGAAUCUAACUUGAUGUGUCAUUCAUUCAUUGAAUGGUAGUUAAAUAAUUAUAUAAGUUAUGAAAUUCUUUAUCAAAUAAAUGAGAGACACAUAGUAUUAAGACUAAAGUUAAAACUCAAAUAUCUAUUAAGAUCCCUAAUAUUAUUUUAACUUUAUUAAGACUUAUUAUUUAACUUACAGCAGCCUCAGGAUUGCUCUACAAAUAUAUGGACAUGGUAGUUGGAAAAAAAAAAAAAAAAGGGUCUCAAGUGUCAACCAGCACAAGCUGAAGCUGCCGACAUAAAUAUCAGUUGGCGGUAGUCACAUUAUUGCCGGUUGCCUCACGAUUCAAUUCGACUGCCGCUAUCAACGCAAACUCACCUCGGCCUGCUUUUCUCUAUACGACUGCUGUGUUGACAAGAAAAAUAUAUAUCCCCUGCCAGUCUGCCACACCUCUCUAGAAUCCUUUACACAUGAAAUUUCAUGCAGUUUCUGCGUCUACAUUACGGUAACAGUCUGAUUUGAAACUACGUAAUGCUACCCAGCUUUUAUCAAACGUAACCGACGAUGCCGACAUAAGCAAAUGUAUACUUUUUCUAGGGAAAUUAGUGCAAGAUUUUCUUAAUUUUGUUCUGAACCUUCGUAGAAUUUUCUUCACUCGUUUACAUGACAUGACUGGUACUGUUGUGUCCACUUGUAGGUUCUAAUUUGUCCAAGCUAGGCUACGCUUUCAGUGCUGUGCGAUAUACAAAGAGUCACAAGAUCGGGACUAGGGAAUGUAUUGCUCUUGGUUUCAAUCUAGGUAGCCUAGCUUCUCAACGUGAUUAAUUAUAUAAUUACCCUUGUGUCCUCCACUCACCAGAGCUUGUUGCACGUUCUGUUUUUUGUUUUUUGUUUUUUGUUUUUUUCCUGGACAAGUAGCAUAAUAAAAGGUGGAAUGGAAAUACUGGAUUUCGAUGGAAAGAGUCACUACCCGAGUAUAGUCCAAGUCAAUACAUUCAUUCAUUAAUCUUUGAUCAGACUUUGUUUCAUCAGUUUCAUCUUAUAUAGGGUGAGUUUGAUAUUGAGGUUGGGCAAUUAUAGCUUAAAAGUUAUAGUAUUAAAGUGUUUGAUAAAAAUUAGCCGUUGUACUUUAGAAGCUGUGUUGAUAUGAUUUUUUAAUUAUAUGAUAGAAGAUCUAUUAUAUCUUUAAUAAUUUUGUCAAAAUUAUUAUUUAAAAUUUAUAUUUACUAUAUACUAUUAACUUUUAAUUCAUAGUCACAACUUUUUUUCUACAGCAGCUGUAACUUAAAAACUACAGUACCUCAAUUCCAAUGAGGACUGUAGUCUUAUACUUUUGUUUCCUGAUUUGGAAGAACAUAAUUAGUUGGGUCCUCUCGAAACAUCGUGCAAAAAAAGUUAGAUCAUGUUAAUCAUGAAAAUUUAUCGUUUUCCUUUUAAAGGUAAGAGGGGUCGAUGGAUAAAUUCAAUUUAAUUUCUCAGUCCCCUGCCUAUAACCCAUAGGUUGUGUUUGGGAGUAGAACAAAAUGUGGGAUUAGACUAAUUGUUUGGAUAAUAUAUCUAAUCCCAUAUUUAGUAAACACACUAAGAUUAGAUUAAGUGGAUUAAAUUCAAAUUUAAUCCUACAAUUAUAGGAUUAGUUAUCCUCAUUUUCACAUGGGUUUAAGGAGGAUUAGACUAAGCAAUGUUUGUCCUUUUUAUUGAUUUUUAUUCGCGGUUCCAUAAAAAUUAAGUAAUUUAUUUUUUAUUUUACUUGUAACAUCUUCUUUCAGUUAUUUAUUUAUUUGUAUUAAUAUUUAAUUUUAAAUAAUUAAUUAAUAGUAUAUUAUAUGUAUUAACAAAAUUAUUAUUAAGAAACAUCCCAUUUAUCAUUUGAAUAUUAUGUAAAACAUUAACAUUUGAUAAAUAAAUAAUUUUAUAUUUAAUUGUUUAAUAAUAUUUUAUUUAAUAGGCAAAGUAUAUCAUAUAUAAAAAUAUAUAACUUAAAUAAAUUUAAUUAUUCUAAUUAAAUACUAUUUAACUUCACUUGUAUUUAAUUUGACGUAGUAUAAUCCGAUAUUAAUCUUAUAUCGUACCAAAUGUAGGACAACAUUAUAUAUAAUCCAGGUUAAUACAAUCCAACCUAAUCCAAUAUAGUUCUUAUAGUCAAUCUAAUUUAAUCUUGCAUGCCAAACGUAGCGAUAAGGUUAAAUCUUCGGGGGGCUAAUUUGGCCAUUCACAUCCAGUUUCGUUGGCCUAUAUUGUGCGGUUUCAGGUAGGGAUGGCAAAUUUUUCCGGAUCCGGCCCGGACCCGGACAAACCCGGAUCAUCCGGUACGGGUUCAACCCGCACCGAAUGCAUUAAUAAUGCGGAUUCGGGUUGUAAUUUUUCAAACCCGGAUAUAUUCCGGGUCGGGUCCGGGUUUAGGUGAACCCGGAUCUCCGGAACCCGGACCCGGACUACUAUUUAUUUAUUUAUUAAUUUUUAUUACAAACGAAAAAUAUAUAAGCAUUAAACAAUAAGUUGGGCAGGAAAAAAAAAUUAAAAGCAAACAAGACAAACCCGCAAAACCCUAAAACAAAACAAAACAAUUGCACCAGCCGCCACCUAGUUGAGGGGAGGGGGGAACAUAAGCAAAACAAAACAAUCCCUCAAUCUUCAUCAAUUCAUCUCUCAAUCUUCAUCUCCAUCUUCAUCUUAAUCUUCAUCUCACUCAUCCCCAGCGGCCACCUUAAUCCUCAUCUCCCUCAUCCCUAGCGACUGCCACCUCAAUCUUUGUCUUCUUCAUCCCCAACGGCCAAGUUCAUCAAUACAUCAUCAAUUAAACCAUCUCAAUUCAUCAUCCAUUAUUAUCAAGAACAACGAACAAAUACCCAGCUCCACCAUCGUCAAAUUCGGUCUCAUCUCUCUCCAAAGAGCAAGCUUUGCUGCUAGUUUCUAACUCCUUCUCGCCCGCAAUCAUAUUUUUCGCUGGCCCAUCACCGCCUUAGCUGCGACCUGAAAUUUUCUUUUGUUUCUCUGUAUUUCUCUUUUAAUUUUUUGCUUUUGCUUAAUUUCGGUAAUUAUUAAUUUUUUUCUUGUUGUUAAUAGCCAAACGCAGCAUCUUAGCACAUAAUAUCCAUAUAAUUGUAAAUUUUAUUAUUGAAGUAAGCAAAUUUGGUUGUGAUCCCAUGAAUUCGUCCUAUUGUUUUUUGCUUCUGUAAUUCCAAAGAACCAAAAAGUGACAAGUAUUAAAUCUAUCUUCAUCCAAUACCGGGUUUGAAACCCGCAAUCCGGAAAUCCGGAUUUUUCCGGGUUGAACCCGGGGCGGACCCAGAGUGAAAUAAUCCGGGUUUAUAUCCAGGUCUGGAAACGUAAAUUAUCAUCCGGGUCCGGAACCAGAAACGUUAAACCCGGACCCGGACCCGGAUUUUGCCAUCCCUAGUUUCGGGGGUUCCUAUGGGCAGAGCAAAAACAUUUCAAAUAUUAAAAAUAUUUGUUGAAUACUUGUAAAAGUUUUGAAUAUUCGAGUUUAUCUUUUGAGGGAAAUCGUUUAUUCUUGAAGUUGAAAGAAUCUGAGCAAAAGUUGACUAGAACAAGAAAAAAAAAAUUGGAAUUGAAGGAAUAUCCAACUAGCAUUUGAACUACUACUUGCAGGCACAAUGAAUGAGAGGGCACGUUUUAAAGAUGUCCGUUGUAUGGGUAAGAACGUAUCUAGCCAAUACAAAAUGCUAAGAACAAAACAAACAGGAACCAUAAAAUACAAUUAAUUGACUCGAUUAGCUCGUUGUGAGCCUUGAGCAUGCCUGAUCCACUUUUCAUUGCAUACGGAAGAUGAGGGUCAUAUAAGAAUCUCAGUAUGGGUAUCAAAACGACUAGUUUAUAUAUUGAUGAAGCAGAAAACAACAGAAAGAACAAAGUUCUGAAUAAUAUGCUAUUGGUAAAAGCUGUGCAACCCUUAGGUUAUGCAACCAUUUAUAGUAGCAAUAGAAAUUAUUCUUAAGUAGUCCUGAUGGAGACAUUAGUUUAUUUGAUCACAUUUGAAUUUUCUAAUAGGCGAACAAACCGCCAAUGACGGAUGAUCAGGUGGCAGUUAGUUUCAGUUUCUCGUAGUGGGUGCAUGUCCCCAAUUGAUUUAAUUUGUGCCACCAUUAUUGAAUUUUAGCCCUGAAUAGAAAAGAGUUGAUGUCGAAGACGACGGUACGGACAAAGAAGAGUCGUGCACGAAGGCUGCCCCCUCGGCCACCGCCAAAAGGAAAGGGCUAAAUAAAAUGGGACCGUAUUGCUAUUUUCUUUUUUCUUUUUUCUUUAACGUCUAUUAAAAGUCUCAUGGUUCACCGUCACCGAGCCGACCCUGCUUCAGGACAAAAUUUUUACCUUAUAAACCCUAGCCCCAUGUUGAUAACAUUUUAAAUUGAAUUCGUUAUUUUUCUAUGUUGCAUUAUUAAAAAAAAAAAGGGCAGCAUGCUUUGGGCUACAAGGACAGUGCUUAAGGUUUGUUAAUGUGGUGUAGCAAAAUAAUUAUAAUAAUAAUAAGGUGGUUUGAUAGUUAGGAAUCUAUUGAGAUUAGAACUAUUUAAUAGUUGAAAAUACAUACACUAAUUAUUUUUUCCCUACUUAUUUUCAAAAAUCUUAUAAUACGUAUGUAUAUU